rnacentral:lncRNA from 1 species
CAAGGUUGAAAAAUCAAAAGUUUUGAUAGAACUAACUUCAGAAAAAGACCGAGAUUUAAAAUUGUCUAGAAGUUCUUUAGAAUUUUUAAGAAUUCACAUAUGGUUAAUACCACUACGCGAGUAAACAGUUUCACAGUAUUUCUGAAGACCCUCUUUCACUGCGGAUAGAAUUUUAGUCAAUCUAAUGGACAAUUCUUUAGUGGAACAUGAAGAUGAGCCAGC